AUGUCUAUUGAUGACUAAGCUUAGGAGAGAGCGUACGACGUGGGGAGGGCGGGGCUUAAUUAAAAGUCUGUAUUUGGGAGUAACAAAAUGUACGUUUACCUGGGGGAAGUUUGUUCAUGUCAUAAUCUAGAGGAAGUGGUGUUGUCAAAUGCUGCAUUAUAACCAGUACAUAUCUAUAUACCACAUAUGACUCCAGUGGCGUAACUACCGGGGGAGCAGGGGGUGCAGUCGCACCAGGCCCGCUCCCCCUCGGGGCCCUCCAGAGCCACUAGAUUUUUUUUUUUUUUUUAACAAUUGCUUUUUUCGCCAUUCUAUUUUUCUUCUGGCUGGUCCGGCUCUUUUUUUUUGUGCUGGCUGGUCACUUCCCCCUGCCGUUGUGCUGGCUGGUCACCUCCCCCUGCUGUUGGGCAGUGUUAUCUCCGGUCCGGUUUCUGUGGAGCCGCUCUGCUCGAAGAUGGGGUCAGUGAUCAACAUUUGAAAGCUGGGAAGUGUCAGAAGAAGAAGGCAAAUAAUUAAAAAACUAUAUAAAAAAGAAAAAAUGAAGGCUAAUUGAAAAGUUGCUUAGAAUUAGUCAUUCUAUAACAUAUUAAAAGUUAACUUAAAGAUCAACCACCCCUUUAAAAGUUUGGGUUUUAUAAUUAUAAUGGAGUCUAUGGUAGAUGUUCAUCCUUCUGGAUAACUGGUUUCUGGAUAACGGAUCCAAAAUCCCACAUUCCACAACUGUGCCCCACAACUACUGAAGAGAGCCCUGAUUUUUGUUGUCAUAUCUAAAGUAAAGAAUGUAUGGAAUGUAUGGGUACGGUUUUCUUAGGUACGUUCCUUCUCAGACUUGGCAUGGAUUUCAGUCCAUCUAAUACCCAUUACUGCAGUCAUGUCAUUCUUUAAUUCAUAACUCUCUGUAAAUGGACCUUUUGUAAUUAACAUUGCCAUAUCUCUAAGUACUGUAUAAUAAAAUAUUCUUCAAGUCCA